rnacentral:lncRNA from 13 species
GGAUUUUUGUUUUAUUAAAUUCAAAGUACACCCAAUACAAGUCUAGCUAAUGACUUCUGCUCUGAUGUUCACCCUUGUUUGCCUUCCCUGCAAAGCAGAACCUCUGGCUACUGUUUCACUUUUAAACCUUAGAAAGAAGUUGCAUUGGGAGAAAAAGCAAAACAAAGCAGAAUACUAGGAUAAAGAACAAAACAAUAAGUAUCUUAAUAGCCACCAGCUGGCUUGCACUUACUUGUUUCUACUCCUCACCCCAACAAGGUUUUUCAUUGCCUUGAUAUUUAUCCUGUACCACAGCCACCUACUGCAAGUAUCAGUAGUCAUGAUAUUAACUUUCCCUUUGAAAUGUGUGCUAAGGCCUAUCUUAAUGGCAGAAAUAGAAAAAGCAACAUGCAAUAAACAUUUUCAAAUUGAAGAAAACAAAAAGGUUUAAAAAUAUCAUACUUUGAGAUAAGCGUGAGUUACAUAUUCAACGGAGUGUUACAUGCUUAUUAAUAUUUUUAUCAUAAAUCUUAUUUAUCACUAAAGUUGAUUUGUCACUCAAGCAGUUUGUGUACAUGAUAGGCAUUCAUAGUAUAAGCUGUAAGAAAGAUGACUGCUAUGUUCUUUUAAGGCAGUCCCAGGGAUUGUCAGUCUUUGUGUAAAUUCAUAGAAGGAAUGUUAUUUACCACUUAUUCCAGUGACUUCUGAUAAAAAAAAAUUUAAAUUAUAAUUCUUACAGACAUAUAACCUCAGUUUGUAGAGUGAGUAAAGCAAAUUGCCCUCUAUAAUGUAGGGGAACCUCAUCUUAUCAGUUGAAGAUCAGAAUAGAACAAAAAGGCUGAGCAAGAGGGGACUCCCUCUGACUGCCUGACUGAGCUGGCACUUUAAUCUUUUGCAGCCUUCAGACUUGGACUGAAACACUGGCACUUUUUGAAUCUGAAGUUGGCCAGCUUUCAGCUAGAACUCACACCAAUAGCUCUCCUGAUUUUCAGGCCUUUGGACUUGUAUUAAAACUACAUGUCAGUUCUCCUUGGUUUUGGACUAGAACUCCACAGCAGCACUCCCGUGAACUGCAGAUCUUGGGAUUUCUCAGCCUCCUUAUUCAUAAGAAGAGUUUCCUCAAGAGAAAUUGCAGAAUCUUGGAGUCUCACUCUGUUGCCCAAGCUGGAGUUCUGUGGCACCAUCUCGGCUCACUGUAAUCUCUGCUGCCAGUGUUGGUCAAGUGAUUAUCCUGCCUCACCCCCCAGUUCUCUCUCCUGCCACCAUGUGAAGAAGUUUUCUGUUUCCGCUUCACCUUCUGCCAUCAUUGUAAGUGUCCUGAGGCCUCCGCAGUCACAUGGAACUGUGAGUCAAUUAAACUUCUCUUC